rnacentral:sRNA from 1 species
UUGCUGUUUGUCCGGGUUUUUUACGUUUUAAUUUCCAGGACUUGAACUGCCAUGUCCUCUGAAGAAGGAAAGCUCUUCGUGGGAGGGCUCAACUUUAACACCGACGAGCAGGCACUGGAAGACCACUUCAGCAGUUUCGGACCUAUCUCUGAGGUGGUCGUUGUCAAGGACCGGGAGACUCAGCGGUCCAGGGGUUUUGGUUUCAUCACCUUCACCAACCCAGAGCAUGCUUCAGUUGCCAUGAGAGCCAUGAACGGAGAGGUGGGGCCUCCUAUCUGCAGAGGGACCUUGCCCCCAUCUGCGGCUUCCUUCAUUCUUUUUGUUUUUCCCUCUGUGUCUGCUCGGGGCAGCGUGGCCACCAAGCCCCGCAGUGCCCACUCACAGGAGCAUGACUGCCUUUUGUUCUAGGGGGUGGAGGGCAGCGGCAGACAGAGCCUGGCCGCCUGGGAGGCGACGACUGGUCCUGCAUGAGGCCGAGAAGCCACCUGUGGAUGGUUGACCUGCCUUGGGCUUAGGUAGUAGAGUCUGCAGACCUGUGGGCCUGGCCCGGAGAGGACCUCGUGAGUCUUCUGACAUGGACUCUGAAGCCUCAAACCAAGAGAGGUGUCUGUCUAGCCCUGAUAGUCGGGCAGCUUAGAGGAGUGGGGAGGAGAACUCAGCCUGAGUUCAGUCAAGAUGUAAGUAGUAGCAAGGGGAACAUGGUGCAUUCAGGUCAUUUUGUGUGGGAUUCUAUAGCUCCUGAUGAAGCCAUUCUGGGGUAAAGGAGCUUAUUCUGGAACAUGGCACCCAGAACCUGGUGCCCAGCAGGAAUUUUUGGCCUCUUUUGCCCACUUACCCUUGUCUGCUCUUCCCUCACCAUUGCCCUGACUGACUGCCAACCCAUCCUCCUUGUGUCUCCCACACUUAGUCUCUGGAUGGUCGUCAGAUCCGUGUGGAUCAUGCAGGCA